GAAAUGCGAUAAGUAAUGUGAAUUGCAGAAUUCAGUGAAUCAUCGAAUCUUUGAACGCAUCUUGCGCUCCUUGGUAUUCCUUGGAGCAUGCCUGUUUGAGUAUCAUGAAAUCUUCAAAGUAAAUCUUUUGUUAACUCAAUUGGUUUCUACUUUGGUAUUGGAGGUCUUUGCAGCUUCACACCUGCUCCUCUUUGUUCAUUAGCUGGAUCUCAGUGUUAUGCUUGGUUCCACUCGGCGUGAUAAGUUAUCUAUCGCUGAGGACACUGUAAAAGGUGGCCAAGGUAAAUGCAGAUGAACCGCUUCUAAUAGUCCAUUGACUUGGACAAUACUUUUAUGAUCUGAUCUCAAGUCAGGUAGGACUACCCGCUGAACUUAAGC
rnacentral:misc_RNA from 1 species